rnacentral:misc_RNA from 1 species
UCCAGCUUAUCGCCGGCAGUCUCCUGAGAGUGCCUCCUUGCGGAGUAGCAACACAGGACGAGGGUUGCGCUCGUUGCGGGACUUAACCCAACAUCUCACGACACGAGCUGACGACAGCCAUGCAGCACCUGUAAACCGACUCUUGCGAGCGAGGACAUCUCUGCCACUCUUCCAGUUCAUGUCAAGCCCAGGUAAGGUUCUUCGCGUUGCAUCGAAUUAAACCACAUGCUCCACCGCUUGUGCGGGCCCCCGUCAAUUUCUUUGAGUUUUAACCUUGCGGCCGUACUCCCCAGGCGGGAUGCUUAAUGCGUUAGCUGCGCCACCAACAAGCAAGCUUGCUGACGGCUAGCAUCCAUCGUUUACGGCGUGGACUAC